rnacentral:rRNA from 1 species
AACGAACGCUGGCGGCAGGCUUAACACAUGCAAGUCGAACGCCCCGCAAGGGGAGUGGCAGACGGGUGAGUAACGCGUGGGAAUCUACCCAGAUCUUCGGAACAACUGAGGGAAACUUCAGCUAAUACCGGAUACGCCCUACGGGGGAAAGAUUUAUCGGUUCUGGAUGAGCCCGCGUUGGAUUAGCUAGUUGGUGAGGUAAUGGCUCACCAAGGCGACGAUCCAUAGCUGGUCUGAGAGGAUGAUCAGCCACACUGGGACUGAGACACGGCCCAGACUCCUACGGGAGGCAGCAGUGGGGAAUAUUGGACAAUGGGCGAAAGCCUGAUCCAGCCAUGCCGCGUGAGUGAUGAAGGCCUUAGGGUUGUAAAGCUCUUUUCAGUAGGGAAGAUAAUGACGGUACCUACAGAAGAAGCCCCGGCUAACUUCGUGCCAGCAGCCGCGGUAAGGCACGACUGU